AUUAAACGCUGGCGGCAUGCCUUACGCAUGCAAGUCGAACGGCAGCACGGGGGCAACCCUGGUGGCGAGUGGCGAACGGGUGAGUAAAGCAUCGGAACGUGCCCUGGAGUGGGGGAUAACGUAGCGAAAGUUACGCUAAUACCGCAUAUUCUGUGAGCAGGAAAGCAGGGGAUCGCAAGACCUUGCGCUCUGGGAGCGGCCGAUGUCGGAUUAGCUAGUUGGUGGGGUAAAGGCCUACCAAGGCGACGAUCCGUAGCGGGUCUGAGAGGAUGAUCCGCCACACUGGGACUGAGACACGGCCCAGACUCCUACGGGAGGCAGCAGUGGGGAAUUUUGGACAAUGGGCGAAAGCCUGAUCCAGCCAUGCCGCGUGAGUGAAGAAGGCCU
rnacentral:rRNA from 1 species